UACGUAGGGGGCUAGCGUUGCCCGGAAUCAUUGGGCGUAAAGCGCGUGUAGGCGGUCCGGUAAGUCCGCUGUGAAAGUCGGGGGCUCAACCCUCGGAUGCCGGUGGAUACUGUCGGGCUUGAGUACGGAAGAGGCGAGUGGAAUUCCUGGUGUAGCGGUGAAAUGCGCAGAUAUCAGGAGGAACACCAAUUGCGAAGGCAGCUCGCUGGGACGUUACUGACGCUGAGACGCGAAAGCGUGGGGAGCGAACAGG
rnacentral:rRNA from 1 species